GUUUCAGGACUGGUCGUUGUUCGGCAUGCCAAGGGUUCGGCCUGAGAGUCCGGCUCGGAUUUGGAAGCCUAAGAUCUCGGGGCUCUGGAGAUGGGUGAAUCGAGGGUCAGUGUCACGGCAGGAGACCCAUGUGUCGUCAGGGGAGCUGGAAAAUCUUCUGCUGUGUGCCCAAAGACCCAGGAUCUUUGAGAUCUUUGAGAAAAGAGCUUGGAAAAGCAAUAUACGCGUCUGGCGCUUUUUAAAAAACUCAACCGCCUUGCUUUUCUUCUGAAGAAAAAUAGUGCUGCACUUUAACAGGUCUCAGCAUUAUGCAGGGAGCCACAUCAGAAGCACCGGAUACAGAAGAUGACCCCAACAGAUGAUCCCGGGAGGAUAUGAAUUAUUGACUUUCGAAGAACUUUCAACAGCUCUGCAUUUGGUGGACCUGGGAGCAGAUAGAUCUGGGUGUUCUGCAAAAGGUUAGCAUUCAUCUGCAGCAAGUGAAUAGCAAAAUGGCAAAGUUGUUUAUUGCAAUGGGUACUAAACAUAAAAGUAAGAGAAAUCUUUUAUUUUUUUCUGCCCAUUAUAAGCUGGAGUGCAGUUUACAAUGUUGGUCUCCAUAUUUAAAGAAAGAAUGUUAAUGCUUUGGAAGAACAUUAACAUUAACAUUAAGAGAAGGUUUACAAAACUGAUGUCUGGAAUGGACAGAUUGUCUUCCGAAGAGAAGCCUACAUGCUAGGCUUGUAUCCAGGAGAGUAUAGAAGGGUGAGAGGGAACCUAACUGAAACAUCACAAAUUUUUUAAUAAAUUUUUUUAUUGAAUUUUCAAAUGGUUACAAAAGGAAAAAAAAUGUAUCAACCCUUCCCCCCUCCCCCUAACAUAUCCCUGUAGAAAGAGAAAAAAAAGAAAGAAAGAAAGAAUGCCUGGAUAUUGGAAGAUCCCCACACGCUCCUUGGAGUUCAUAAUAGCUUUAGUAUAUAUAUUUAUUUCCUUCCCCAAGUAACCAAUAAUU